UAAGUAUAGUCUAGUCUAUAGUCUGGUCUCCAGUCUAGUCUUUAUUUUAAUCUAUAGUCUUUAUCCAGUCUAGUCUGUAGUCGGGUUUGUAGUGUAGACUACUAUAUAAUAUAUUCCAUAGACUACUCAGUAAUCUAUUCUACAGUACCAUCUAUAGUCUUAAUCUAUUAUAUAGUGUUCUCUAUUCUAUGGUCUUAGUUACAGUCAAAUCUAAAGUCUAUUCUAUUGUGUUUAUUGAACUAUUGUGUAGUUUACUAUUUAAUCGGAUAUGACCACUGCACUUUGUUUUUCAUAAUUUUAUGUUGCUCUAUUGUUUUUGAUGUUACAGUUGAAUAUAACAACAGGCAGACUGGCAGGAUGUCCGAAAGGAAGGAAUGAAUGUGGGUGAAUAGGUUGUAUAGAAUAGUAUAUUUGUCAGAUUUUAUGAUAUAAAACAGAAAUUGUGUAUUAAAGUAAUUAUAUACAUACUACAUGCAUAUUGAUUUGAGAACCUAAAACACUUUAAUGACAAGAACUUAAUGACAAAUACGGAUAUGUGGACUCCCACACACACACACACACACACAAUCACCACCUACUUAUGUAUGAAUUUACUCAUUGUAACAUACAUCCAUCUUGACUAUACUCUUUUACGAACAUAUAUUUUCCCUAAUGAUUCGAGUCAUGAAUUCAUAUAAAUAGAAAACAGACAAAUAAACUUAAUUCAUGUCAACUAAAUAAGACUUAAAGUAUAGUGACUAUUUACCAUUAUCAUCAUCAUCAUACACAAUGACUCCCCUUUCUACGCGAAGAAAAAUUCUACUUUACAAUUGUAUUUUCGCACAGUGUCAUGACAAUAAUUUAUUAUUGUAAAUUAAACUAAAUGAGUUUAGAUGUUGUUGUUUUUAUUCUCUUUUAAGUAUAAUGAUGGCAAAUGAGAAAUGAAACGGAAAUAAAUAAAUCAAUAAAUAUUAAGUAAAUAUUAACAGCAUGAUGUACCGAAGAUGUCGAAGAAGUAACAGCUCUUGCCAGCUUAAUGAUAUUUAAAAGCAAAUUAUUUAAAGACAUCCUGCAAUUAGCAAUGUCACACAAAUUGGAAAGAGAGAUGGAAAGGGUUUUGGUAUAACUUCUCAAAGUUCCUCCUUAAAGCACCUCCAAAAGGGGCGGAAGUGAUAAGUUUCAUCAUCUUAAAUCUUGACAUACACAAGUCACUGCAAUUCUAAAUGCUCCUGGGGUAUGUUACCCCGAUAAUUUUUCUCAUUUUGAUGUUGCAUUUUGCGAUUACGUCUCUGUGCACUGUUGCAGAAUUAACUGGCAGAGCCAUUGGUUAAUACACAUGCACUGUGAUAAGACCAACAUGGCAUGUGUAUAAUUAACGUUCUCCUAGUCAAGGAACAUAACUGCGUGUUCACUAAAGACUUCCUUCUGGUGCGUAAUAGUAACAUUGACAUUAAACAGUUAUUUGCUUUCCGUAGCAUGUCGGGAAGCAUCUUAAUACUAUAAUACCUUAAUACUUAUACUUCAAUUAUCUGGUGGAUUUCUUUAGACGAAAAGUACAAUAUCAAACUACUACAGGGAGUUCAGCGUAUAUGCUGCUUGGGUACAAGUGGUGGCAUGUAUACUACUUCAACCAAGGCUCUGGAAACGUUGCUAGAUAUUCCACCUAUUGAAACAUAUUUAAGAUAUGAAUCGGCACUUUCAGCCGAACGGCUCUUUACUUUAGAGCUGGCCAAAAGCAGUUAUAGGACAUGCCAUCAAUGUAUACUGGUCACAUUGGAAGGUUAUACACGUGCCUUAUCGCAUACCAGACACAGAAUAUGACGGAAACUUUGAAACGCUAAUCCCAUAUAUGUCUUCGUCAAGCAAAUACCAGUAGGAAUCCGUUGCUACACGGCUCUAAAUAGGGGGAGAAUGUGGGGCUGGGGUUCUAUAUUGAAGACCCAGAGACAGAAAUAUAUAGCUGUUUACCAAAUCAUAACAUAAGCUUCCAGGCAGAAGUUCGAGCAAUAUAGGAGUGUAUAAUUUUGAUUAGAAUAAGUAUGACACCCAAAGCUCUUAAUAUAUUUAUCGACAGUCAGAAGACCGUAUUCGGUCUUAGAGGUAAGUUUCACAUCAUAUGGGUACCAUCCCACUCGGAAGUAGUUAGUAACGAAAGGGAGGCAGUUAACCUGACAAACGCAAAUUAAUUCGACGCAACACUGUGAAAAAUUCUGUUCAUAUCAGAGUAUACUCUGAACAUAUCUGGACAAGGAAGGAAAAUUCAAUGGUAUCAUUUGUAUAAGAUACCUUUCAUCCAUCAUUACACAACCCAGCAUACAUCUCAUUCAUACGACACAUUUAUUAUAGGUAGAGGACCGCUGUACCUCAAAUUCAUUCCGUACCAUAUACAAUUAAUACCAACUCAUUUCCAAUGCUUAGUCCCACAGUCACUCAACCGAAAUAUUGACUUUACCUUACAUCAGUCCUUUAACCACAACUUAUUCUUCCCGCGAAUUUGGGUUUAAACCACGGCAACUACGUGAAUCCUCAACCAACUGACCAGCCAGGACAUAGUCCUGCGGGAAACUGGCUACCCGUAGUAUCAUAUUAUGCGGUGCUGUGGUCUGACCACUUUUCAAUCUAUGCAAGGACUGUAGACUGUAACCAAUUUUUUAGUCCCGGCCAGACUAGGGGUAUUGGCCACCUCUUUAUUCCCCGGGAUUACAAUA
rnacentral:lncRNA from 1 species